rnacentral:rRNA from 1 species
GACGUAGGGGACGAGCGUUGUCCGGAUUUAUUGGGCGUAAAGAGCGCGUAGGCGGCUUGGCAAGUCGGAUGUGAAAUCCCGGGGCUCAACCCCGUGACUGCACCCGAAACUGCCCGACUAGAGGUAGGUAGGGGAGAUCGGAAUUCCUGGUGUAGCGGUGAAAUGCGCAGAUAUCAGGAGGAACACCGGUGGCGAAGGCGGUUUUCUGGACAGUAACUGACGCUGAGGCGCGAAAGCUAGGGGAGCAAACAGG